ACUUUUGCCUGAUGAUCCAGAAUAACAAUCUGAAGGGGGGACCAGUAAUUUGCUCUGUCCUCAGCAUCACCAAUGCUGGCAAAGUGAUGUCUGUAAAAGCAAAACUUUGCCAAGAAGUGACCAAGAACAUUGUAUGUGCAAAUCAGGAAUAUCUUCAUGAAAGUCAGUAGAGUUAAAAAUCUCAGGCCUCUGUUAAGUUGCGUCAGCCUGUCCACCCCCUCAGAUCAGCAUCCAAACUAUGAGAGAAGAAAUGUAAUUUCUGCUUCAGUUUCUGGUGUUGGUUUUCAGAUAUGACUAAUAUUAAUGUAGAAAGAUGGAAGAAUCUGGAAGAGAGGACACACAAGAAUACCAGGCUUUUGGAAAAAGUCUUUCAUUGUCUCCAUCAUCAAUGUUUUGUGACAUGAGAGCAACUUAUGUGAGCAUGCUCUCAUGACUCAGGAGUACCACCAAGCACCCAGAGAUUUAAAAGGCCUGAUCUUCUGAUGAAGAAAUCUUGAAGAUGGAUUCAAAAUCUCCCAGACCCCUCUUCAGGCAGGAAACAGUUCCCUCCUGGAUUUUCAGCAUUCAUUCACAGGUGGAAAAGGAGGAUCAGAAAAGGAAUGGGAUCUUGAUGUGUGGUCUGGCCUGAAGCAUCUUUAUGCCCAGAAAUGCCUACUAAAACAGACGUGUCAUCUGGCAAGUGAAUGUUUCACAGAGAAAAAAACCCAUUUCUGCUUUGAUUAUUGGCUGUGAAGCAGUUUUGUGCUCACAGUAUAUACAUUUUCCCUUUUAUAUAAAUCUACCUAUCGUUUGCAUCAUCUCUGAUAAUGCUGUAAAAGCAAAAUAUAUCAUAUGCUUCGAAACAAA